GAGGGCUUGGUGUAGUGGUAGCAUGUCUGAUUCCAGCCUAUAGCAUAAUGGAACUUCCAGAUGGUCAUCGGUUCAAAUCCGAUAGUCCUCA
rnacentral:tRNA from 1 species